ACCAGACGAUGCGGUUACCGCGGCUGCUGGCACGGAGUUAGCCGGUGCUUCUUCUGUGAGUGAUGUCCUUCCUGCCGGUUAUUGACCCGCAGGCCUUCUUCCUCACUGAAAGUGCUUUACAACCCGAAGGCCUUCUUCACACACGCGGCGAUGGCUGGAUCAGGGUUGCCCCCAUUGUCCAAUAUUCCCCACUGCUGCCUCCCGUAGGAGUCUGGGCCGUGUCUCAGUCCCAGUGUGGCUGAUCAUCCUCUCAGACCAGCUACGGAUCGUCGCCUUGGUGAGCCGUUACCUCACCAACCAGCUAAUCCGACAUAGGCUCAUCCGAUAGCGCGAGGCCCGAAGGUCCCCCCGCUUUCCCCCGUAGGGCGUAUGCGGUAUUAGCCUGGGUUUCCCCAGGUUAUCCCCCACUACCGGGCAGAUUCCUAUGCAUUACUCACCCGUCCGCCGCUCGCCACCAGGGAGCAAGCUCCCCGUGCUGCCGCUCGACUUGCAUGUGUUA
rnacentral:rRNA from 1 species